UACGUAGGUCCCGAGCGUUGUCCGGAUUUAUUGGGCGUAAAGCGAGCGCAGGUAGUUUAUUAAGUCUGGUGUAAAAGGCAGUGGCUCAACCAUUGUAUGCAUUGGAAACUGGUAGACUUGAGUGCAGGAGAGGAGAGUGGAAUUCCAUGUGUAGCGGUGAAACGCGUAAAUAUAUGGAGGAACACCGGUGGCGAAAGCGGCUCUCUGGCCUGUAACUGACACUGAGGCUCGAAAGCGUGGGGAGCAAACAGG
rnacentral:rRNA from 1 species